AAAAGUCUGACAACUAUUUUUAGGUUCCGAUUAAAUCCCCUUCUCACAAAACUAUCCCAACUGUCACCGUCCGAUUCCUCUUUCAUCUCACAAUCUCCACCGUUCAUUCUGUCUCUAUCCCACUAUGUAUUAUUCCUCACAACCUAUUCCUCUUUCUAUCUCCGAUUGGCCCGGACGGCGGUUCGGUCCCGAUCCAAUAGGCUCGUCUUCAGUGUAAAAAUUAUCCCUCUUAAACCUUCUUCCACCUUCAUCUUCAUCCUCACAAACCUCACACGUGUCACGGAAACCGUUACACCGAACCGAAAAAAUCUUCAGGUUCGUAUAAUCGUACCCGAUCCGUUAUAA